AGUCCUGUUUUAUGGCCUCACGUGUUUUCGGGAACAGGGAGCGAGCUUUCUUCUAGGCAACUGGCCGUCACCCACCAGGGGUUAGCCCCCCUGGCUGAUCAUGGCCAGGCUGGGCAGGACGUGGGCUUAGGGCUUGUGAGGCCAACCCUCUGCCAGCUGGGAGGCCCAGGGCACGGGGAUGGCCAGGCUACCCAGUGAGCUGUCAGCUGUGCCAGGACAGACCCCAGGCUCCUGGUGGCCCUGCUUUGAUGCACGGCUCUGUCUCCCAACCUGGGGGCAGCCGAGUCCCCCUCCCCGCCCCACUGCAGGAAACUGGCCGUCCCUGCCACCUGGGUGUGCGUAGAAAAAAGCUAGAGGUUCCCAUGGCUUUAUCCAGCUGGGCUCAGAGAACAAGAUGGGCUGCAAAGGGCUUUUCCAGAUCCUUCUCUUCGGCUGAGUUCUCAUUGUUAAAGCCACGCCCUGGAUCCUGCAGGACCCAGGAGCCAAGAAAGCCUGCAGACGGGCAGCCGUGGCUCAGGUGUUCCCCUUGCACAGGUGGACAGAGGAUCAGAGCCCACGGGGCUCACCCUGCCACGUCCCCACCCAUUCGGCAGAAGGGGAAGUUGAGGCCCAGAGGCAGGGAGAGCUUCCCCCAGGGACACACAGCACAGGAGAGCCAGCUGGGAGCCCCUCCCCUGACUCCCUGCCCGGUGCUCCUGAUGCCUCCCGGCCGGCUGGCUGUGGGGGUGUCUGAGGGUGGAGUGGCUAUGGGAAGAUGGCAGGGGGAGGCACAGCCACCCUUACAGACACCCCAUUCCCAGCACUCCUUCCUCACACCCAGACCCCUUGCCUCCCACCCAGACAUGAGCGCCAGCCCCCAGGAAGGCCAGGAGGAUGGGCCGGCAGGAUGGAGAGCGAAUCUGAAGCCCGUGGACAGGAGAAGCCCAGCUGAGAGGACUCUGAAGCCCAAGGAACCACAGGCCCUGGCAGAGCCGAGGGCGGGGGAGGCCCCCAGGAAGGUCUCAGGCAGCUUUGCUGGGAGUGUCCACAUCACCCUGACCCCCGUGAGGCCUGACAGGACCCCACGCCCAGGCAGCCCAGGACCCAGCCUCCCAGCCAGGUCCCCCUCCCCACCCCGCCGCAGGAGACUGGCCGUCCCUGCCAGCCUCGACGUUUCUGACAACUGGCUUCGGCCGGAGCCCCCUGGCCAGGAAGCCCGAGUGCAGAGCUGGAAGGAGGAGGAGAAGAAACCCCACCUUCAGGGCAAACCAGGGAGACCCUUGUCCCCGGCCAAUGUCCCUGCUCUGCCUGGCGAGACGGUGACCUCCCCAGUCAGGGUGAGUAGUGGUGGGGAGCCGGGCAGGGGCCUAGCCCUCCGGCAUCCUCACCGCUCCUCCGUUCCCAGCUGCACCCCGACUACCUCUCCCCGGAGGAGAUACAGAGGCAGCUGCAGGACAUCGAGAGGCGGCUGGACGCCCUGGAGCUCCGUGGCGUGGAGCUGGAGAAGCGACUGCGGGCGGCCGAGGGAGAUGACGCUGAGGAUAGCCUCAUGGUGGACUGGUUCUGGCUCAUUCACGAGAAGCAGCUUCUGCUGAGACAGGAGUCAGAGCUGAUGUACAAGUCCAAGGCCCAGCGUCUGGAGGAGCAGCAGCUGGACAUCGAGGGUGAGCUGCGCCGGCUCAUGGCCAAGCCCGAGGCUCUGAAGUCACUGCAGGAGCGGCGGCGGGAGCAGGAGCUGCUGGAGCGGUACGUGAGCACCGUGAACGACCGCAGUGACAUCGUGGACUCGCUGGACGAGGACCGGCUCCGGGAACAAGAGGAGGAUCAGAUGCUGCGGGACAUGAUUGAGAAGCUGGGCCUCCAGAGGAAGAAGUCCAAGUUCGGCUUGUCCAAGAUCUGGUCACCAAAAAGCAAAAGCAAAAGCAGCCCCUCCCAGUAGUAGCCAGUAGGGCCGUGGGCUCGGCCCGGACCUGGCAUCCGGACUUGGACUCGGGGCCAUGGGCUUGGCCCGGACCCGGAACCCGGACUUGGACUCGGGGCCAUGGGCUCGGCCCGGACCCGGCAUUCGGACUUGGACUCGGGAAGGGCCUCCUGUCCCUACAAGGGGCAUGUGGACAGCAGGGACCUGCGCUACCGUCUGUGGUCUCAAUAAAGAAACCGACCACAUGGCCCCGG
rnacentral:sRNA from 1 species